AACGCGAAGAACCUUACCCAGGCUCGAAAUGUAAUGGACGAUAUCAGAGAUGGUAUUUCCCGCAAGGGCUGUUAUAUAGGUGCUGCAUGGCUGUCGUCAGCUCGUGCCGUGAGGUGUUUGGUUAAGUCCAGCAACGAGCGCAACCCUUAUCAUUAGUUGCCAACACGUAAGGUGGGGACUCUAAUGAGACUGCCUAGGUUAACUAGGAGGAAGGUGAGGAUGACGUCAAGUCCGCAUGGCCUUUAUGUCUGGGGCUACACACGUGCUACAAUGGUCGGUACAGAAGGCAGCAAGACCGCAAGGUGGAGCAAAUCCGUAAAGCCGAUCACAGUUCAGAUUGUAGUCUGCAACUCGACUACAUGAAGUUGGAAUUGCUAGUAAUGACGUGUCAGCAACAACGUCGUGAAUACGUUCCCGGGCCUUGUA
rnacentral:rRNA from 1 species